rnacentral:rRNA from 1 species
CCCCAGCGCCACAAGUGGCAAUCGCAUUUAUUGGGCCUAAAGCGUUCGUAGCCGGUUUAGUAAGUUCUGGGUGAAAUCGUUCUGCUCAACAGGACGGCGUGCUUGGAGUACUGCUAGACUUGAGACCGGAGAAGAGUCAGGAGUAUGUCGGGGGGAACGGUAAAAUGUUAUAAUCCUCGAUGGACUACCUGUGGCGAAGGCGCCUGACUAGAACGGGUCUGACGGUGAGGGACGAAAGCUAGGGGAGCAAACGGGAUUAGAUACCCCAGUAGUCCUAGCUGUAAACGCUGUGAACUAGAUGUUGCGCAUUCUAUAUGAAUGCGCAGUGUCGGAGCGAAGGUGUUAAGUUCACCGCCUGGGAAGUACGGUCGCAAGGCUGAAACUUAAAGGAAUUGGCGGGGGAGCACCACAAGGGGUGCGGCGUGCGGUUUAAUCUAAUUCAACGCAGAGAAUCUCACCAGAAGCGACGGCAGGAUGAAGGUCAGAUUAAAGGUCUUACCUGACGAGCCGAGAGGUAGUGCAUGGCCGUCGUCAGCUCGUACCGUGAGGUGUCCAGUUAAGUCUGGCAACGAGCGAGACCUAUACCUAUAAUUGCUAACGGGUUCUUUAGAAUGUCUGAGCACAUUAUGGGGACUGCCUUGGAAACAAGGAGGAAGGUGUAGGCAACGGUAGGUCUGUACGCUCCGAAUCUUCUGGGCUACACGCGCGCAACAAUGGUAGGCACAAUGGGAUGCGACUCCGAAAGGAGAAGCCAAUCCUCGAAAUCCUAUCUUAGUCUAGAUUGAGGGCUGUAAUUCGCCCUCAUGACAACGGAAUCCCUAGUAAUCGUAGUUCAUCACACUACGGUGAAUAUGUCCCUGCUCCU